UACGGAGGGGGCGAGCGUUAUUCGGAAUUAUUGGGCGUAAAGGGCGCGUAGGCGGCUGAACAAGUCAAAGGUGAAAUCCCUCGGCUCAACUGAGGAACUGCCUUUGAAACUGUUCGGCUUGAGGCCGGGAGGGGUAGCGGAAUUCCCAGUGUAGCGGUGAAAAUGCGUAGAUAUUGGGAGGAACACCAGUGGCGAAGGCGGCUACCUGGACCGGUUCUGACGCUGAGGCGCGAAAGCGUGGGUAGCAAACAGGA
rnacentral:rRNA from 1 species